UGGGGGAUAUUGCACAAUGGGCGAAAGCCUGAUGCAGCGACGCCGCGUGGGGGAUGAAGGCCUUCGGGUUGUAAACUUCUUUUGCUCUGAACAAGGCGCACCAUGGGGUGUGUUGAGUGUAGGGGUUGAUUAGCGCCGGCUAACUACGUGCCAGCAGCCGCGGUAAUACGUAGGGCGCGAGCGUUGCCCGGAAUUAUUGGGCGUAAAGGGCUUGUAGGUGGCUGGUUGCGUCUGUCGUGAAAGCUCAUGGCUUAACUGUGGGUUUGCGGUGGGUACGGGCGGGCUUGAGUGCAGUAGGGGAGGCUGGAAUUCCUGGUGUAGCGGUGGAAUGCGCAGAUAUCAGGAGGAAUACCGGUGGCGAAGGCGGGUCUCUGGGCUGUUACUGACACUGAGGAGCGAAAGCAUGGGGAGCGAACAGG
rnacentral:rRNA from 1 species